GAUGAAGAACGCAGCGAAAUGCGAUAAGUAAUGUGAAUUGCAGAAUUCAGUGAAUCAUCGAAUCUUUGAACGCACAUUGCGCCCCUUGGUAUUCCGAGGGGCAUGCCUGUUCGAGCGUCAUUAUAACCCCUCAAGCUCAGCUUGGUGUUGGGGCCUGCCGCACGGGCAGCCCUUAAAAUCAGUGGCGGUGCCAUCUGGCUCUAAGCGUAGUAAUUCUUCUCGCUAUAGAGUCCCGGUGGAUGCUUGCCAUUAACCCCCAAUUUUCUAUGGUUGACCUCGGAUCAGGUAGGGAUACCCGCUGAACUUAAGCAUAUCAAUAAGCGGAGG
rnacentral:misc_RNA from 1 species